rnacentral:lncRNA from 1 species
UCCCAGGAUUCUGGUCCUGGAUGCUGUGCCUGCACACAAGAGCAUCCAGGGCCUUUGUGCCAGUUGUGAGUGACUUCAGAGUUGGGCUUCCCUAUCUUUGAAUGAUUCAGCAUGUGUUAGAGCAUAUACAGAUUACUGAAUGUUGGUGCCAGCCAGCAAUGUUAUCAGUGUCUCCUAGAGUUUGAAAAAUCUCUGUACAAGCAACUUUCUCUUCCAACUGAACUGUGAAAUAACAACACAGUUCCACGUUCUGGCAAGGCUGGUGGGUGCCUGAAGCUAGACUUAAUCAGAGUAUUCUCUGUGAAUAAGCACAUUGUCAUUGUGACAAAGGUCCCAGAAGCGUGAUUGAAGGAAUGUAAAGAGCACAAGCUCCUGAGUCAUCUUAAUGGUGGCUCCCUGUGAAAUAAUGAAGUGGAAUAAACUCCAAGCAAAAGCAAAACAAAAUGAAUCAGACAAGCAAAGAAGCAAGCAAGCCAAAGAAUUUACAACCUGAC